UUGACCUCAAAUCAGGUAGGAAUACCCGCU
rnacentral:rRNA from 3 species